rnacentral:rRNA from 1 species
AAACCGGAGGAAGGUGGGAUGACGUCAAGUCCUCAUGGCCUUUAUGCUUAGGGCUACACACGUGCUACAAUGGGUGGUACAAAGAGAAGCCAACUCGCGAGAGCGCGCCAAUCUCAAAAAGCCAUCCUCAGUUCGGAUUGGAGUCUGCAACUCGACUCCAUGAAGUUGGAAUCGCUAGUAAUCGCGGAUCAGCAUGCCGCGGUGAAUACGUUCCCGGGCCUU